rnacentral:rRNA from 1 species
AUACGUAGGUGGCAAGCGUUGUCCGGAAUUACUGGGUGUAAAGGGAGCGCAGGCGGGGAGACAAGUCAGCUGUGAAAACUAUGGGCUUAACCCAUAAACUGCAGUUGAAACUGUUUUUCUUGAGUGGAGUAGAGGUAGGCGGAAUUCCGAGUGUAGCGGUGAAAUGCGUAGAUAUUCGGAGGAACACCAGUGGCGAAGGCGGCCUACUGGGCUCUAACUGACGCUGAGGCUCGAAAGUGUGGGGAGCAAACAGGAUUAGAUACCCUGGUAGUCCACACUGUAAACGAUGAUUGCUAGGUGUGGGGGGGCUUACCCCUUCCGUGCCGCAGCUAACGCAAUAAGCAAUCCACCUGGGGAGUACGGCCGCAAGGUUGAA